UUCAGCUGACGAGUCCCAAAUAUAGGACGAAACGCGCGUCCUGGAA
rnacentral:hammerhead_ribozyme from 1 species